rnacentral:rRNA from 1 species
AUUGAACGCUGGCGGCAGGCCUAACACAUGCAAGUCGAGCGGCAGCGCGGAGCCAGCCCUUGCAUUCAGCGGCGGACGGGUGAGUAAUGCGUCGGAAUCUGCCUGGUUGUGGGGGAUAACGUCGGGAAACGGGCGCUAAUACCGCAUACGUCCUGCGGGAGAAAGUGGGGGAUCUUAGGACCUCACGCAAACAGAUGAGCCUACGUCGGAUUAGCUAGUUGGUGGGGUAAAGGCCCACCAAGGCGACGAUCGGUAACUGGUCUGAGAGGAUGAUCAGCCACACUGGAACUGAGACACGGUCCAGACUCCUACGGGAGGCAGCAGUGGGGAAUAUUGGACAAUGGGCGAAAGCCUGAUCCAGCCAUGCCGCGUGUGUGAAGAAGGUCUUCGGAUUGUAAAGCACUUUUGUUUGGAAAGAAAGGCAUUGAGUUAAUACCUUCGGGGGUUGACGGUACCGGAAGAAUAAGCACCGGCUAACUUCGUG